UACGAAGGGUGCAAACGUUGCUCGGAAUCAUUGGGCGUAAAGCGCACGUAGGCGGCCUCAUAAGUCGGAUGUGAAAUCCCUCGGCUCAACCGAGGAAGUGCAUCCGAAACUGCGAGGCUCGAGUAUGGAAGAGGGUCGCAGAAUUCCCGGUGUAGAGGUGAAAUUCGUAGAUAUCGGGAGGAAUACCAGUGGCGAAGGCGGCGACCUGGGCCAAUACUGACGCUGGGGUGCGAAAGCGUGGGGAGCAAACAGG
rnacentral:rRNA from 1 species